CUUGCCAGUCGGCUGCAAACAUCGUAAUCAAUCAGUCAUCUUCAUUCGUCGUCCUCCGGGUGGAAUUACGAAAAUUUGGAAAUAACCUCUUCCUCCCCUAUUUUUUGUCUCUCCCCACGUCCGGUCCACCCCCUCUAUCCGUUUCUAUUGAUCAGUGUUAACCACACCCUCCUCCCCUUCUACCCACCACCACAAGAAGAAGAAAGAUGGGUGCCUGUUGUGGAAAGAAGAAGCAAGACGCUGGAGCCACGGACGAAGCAGCCGCGACCCCUUCGGAAAUGCAGUGUCCUAAAUGUGGAGGAUGUCAUAAUGACGGGUCCGCCUGUCCGAACGAAGACCAGGCCCCUCCGGACAAUUAACGCAGCGGAGACAACAUAAGACUGACACACCAAACGGAAACCUAAAAAAGACAAAUCGAAAUUGUACGUGUUGAAUUACUUUGGUGAAGAUCUUCUUCAUGGCUCUUCAAAAUUCGUUCACAUUAUUUUGUAAGAAUGUAUCUUUAUUAUAAACAACUUUUCUAAAUUCGAAUUGGACCCAUUGUUCAUGUAAUUAUAUCGAUCGAUCUGGUCAGAGGAAAAUGUGGUCAUUAUAAAUAUCAAAUAAAAAUCUUUGUUUAAAACAGCUCAA